AACGGCCGCAGUAUAUUGACUGUGCAAAGGUAGCAUAAUCAUUAGUUUCUUAAUAAGGGGCUGGAAUGAAUGGUUUGACGAAAUAUCGACUGUCUCAUUUUUAUUAAUUGAAUUUAACUUUUAAGUUAAAAGGCUUAAAUUUUUUUGGAAGACGAGAAGACCCUAUAGAGCUUUAUUAACCUUAUUUUUAUUUUUUUUGGUAAAAGGUUAUUUUAAUUAUAAGUUUAAUUUUGUUGGGGUGAUGGUAGAUAAAUAUUUAACUUUUAUUAUAAGUUUUACACUUAUUUGUGAUAAAUUAGAUCCUUUUUUUGGAUUAUUAGACUAAGUUACCUUAGGGAUAACAGCGUAAUCUUUCCUUUGAGUUCUUAUUUUCGGAAAGGGUUGCGACCUCGAUGUUGGAUUAAGAUUAUAAUUAGGUGCAGCUGCUUAUUUUAUGGGUCUGUUCGAC
rnacentral:rRNA from 1 species